ensembl:snRNA U6 U6 spliceosomal RNA
UCGCUUCAGCAGCACAUGUUCUAAAAUAGGAACAUUACAGAGAUUAGCAUGGCCCCUGUGCAAAGAUGACACCCAAAUUCAUGAAACAUUCUGUAUUUUA